rnacentral:ncRNA from 1 species
GGUACUAGCCUUAUUAUCAAUUUUUUCUCAAAUUACACAUGCAAGUCUCAGCACGCCCGUGAGGACACCCUUAUACCCUUAACCAGACUAAGGAGCUGGCAUCAGGCACAAUACCCGCCCACAACGCCUAGUCCCACCACACCCACAAGGGCACUCAGCAGUGAUAAAUAUUGCCUAUAAGCGACAGCUUGACUCAGUUAAAGAAAAUAGAGCCGGCCAACUCGGUGCCAGCCGCCGCGGCUAAACCGCAUGGGCUCAAACUGAUAAUCAUCGGCGUUAAGCGUGAUUAAAGUCUUCCUACAACUAGAGUAAAACCUAUACUUAGCUGUGAAAAGCUUGAUGCUAGAGAAAACCACAAACGAAAGUUACUCUAGAGAUUACUUGAAUACACGACAGCUGGGGCACAAACUGGGAUCAGAUACCCCACUAUGCCCAACCGUAAAAUAACUCACUUCCACCAACGCCAGGAUAUUACGAGCUUUAGCUUAAAACCCAAAGGACUUGACGGUGUCCCAUCCAUCUAGAGGAGCCUGUUCCAUCAUCGAUAAUCCCCGCUACACCUAACCACCCCUUGCAAUCAGUCUGUAUACCUCCGUCGUAAACUUACCAUGUGAGUGCUCACAGUAAGUUUAAUGGCCACCAUCACCAAUACGUCAGGUCAAGGUGCAGCUCAUGGGGCGGCAGGCAAUGGGCUACAAUUUCUACACUAGAACAGACGAAACGCUGCAUGAAAUACAGCCACGAAGGCGGAUUUAGUAGUAAAAAGAAAAUAGCGUGUUCUUUUUAACUAGGCCCUGGGACGUGUACACACCGCCCGUCGCCCUCUUCAACAGUAACUUAAUAAAUAUUUAAUUAUCCAAUACACCUCAGAAGAGGUAAGUCGUAACAUGGUAAGUGUACCGGAAGGUGCACUUGGAUUAA